UUGGCCUUUGUGGUUUUAUAAUCAUCAUGUUUAUUAAUUGUAAUGACGUUGUUUGAUAUUAGGACUAACGUUAACGUUAGUGCAACCAGAGACGUUUGUCAUUUUGUGCAACAGUUUGUGCAAAGUUAACGUUAUUGUUAGCUGUGAUGCUCAUAUGAGUCUGUAGCCUAUCUGAUUUAAAAUGGGAUAGCAAUUUCGGCAGAAUAUGUUAUGCGUCAACUUUUAUCGGCUGGAUUCUAGCAUCUAACGUUACGAUUGCCUCUGUUGGGUUUGCUUGAUCAACCAUCGUUUCGGGGACUCUGAUGACAGUGAAGAGCCAGAAAAUGGUGACUUUGCAUCUCUGAGGUACCUUCCAACUCGCCUGGUAUAUCAGUUGAACCCUCAAGCCCAAGCCAAUUGCACUGGCAAACUCCACCAUCU